GGAAUAUGCGGUGGAGAGAAGGUGCCAGCAUGAAAGGGAGCUGGUUGGACUCUGCUGGAGAGCUGGCUGGGUGGUGGAGUCAGGUGAAGUAGGACUUCAAAGUUUAGCCUGAGGCAAUGAGAUCUAAUUUAGACUAAAUGUAGAUCAUCUGAUGAAUUAUUGAUUUGCUUCAAUGGAUAAUUUCAUAGCUCAGAAGUGGAAGAAGCAAGGAAGAAAUGCACCACCCUGGACUUAACUCUGACUGGCCCCAGGGAAUGCUUUUUGGCAAUAGAGUGACCAGGGAGGGCCCAUAGAGGAAGUCACUGUGUCAGCCUGGAGUGGGUCACAGCAAGUGAGGGCACCUUGAAUAUGGCAGGCAUUAGUGCUAAGCUUGAGGAAAAGGCAUUGGAAAAGGCCUGCUUGGGAAAACUGAGAGGUCAGGCUCCUGGCUGGAGACUUAGGAAUGGUAGUGGUGGUUGCACAGGGAGAUUCCCAGAAAGAAGAUGGAGGCUGUGAAAAUGGAAAUCUGCCAUGCAGUCACAAAUAAUUUCAAAGAGAGAAAGGCACUGCCUCUUCCCUACUUCUCUCUCUCUCUCUCACGCACACACACACACACACACACACACACACACGACACAUACACACGCUGUCUGCUCCUCAUGUCUGUCAUUAGGCAUUCAGGCAGUUAAUUCUCCCAGACACACCACUGAGAGUGCUAGGAGCCUUGUAGAGUUGAAAAUGGGUGUUGCAAGGCUCAUUACAGAAUCCCGGAGAAAGAGGAUAAGGACAGGGAUUUCCCCUCCCUCAGCCUCUGAAAGAGGCCCUGCACCUCCAUUUCUACCCACUCUGAAGGCCCUGUCCAUUAUCCAGCCCCCAGCCCCUGGCUCCCUGCCCUCCUCUGACUCUGCUCCAGGUCCAUGGUCAUGCCCACUCCGUCUGGGUCCCAUUUCAUAUUCCUAAUAUGAGAAAGAUCCUGAACCCCCUAACUUUUGGAGUAAAGAGGGCAGAGGGGCAAGGUGACAGGGAAACAGCCUAGAGAGAAUCCCAAACUGACCACACCACCUCUCUUUCCCAUCAGCUCUAGGCCAGCAUGGCUCACAAGGAAGCUGGGUGGCGUUUCUCCUCCUCUCCCACCAUUGUGAAGGAUCUUCUUGCUGCUAGAGUGCAGCGCCUGGUUUAGUUUUUUGGCUCCUGUAUGAAAGAUGAGGAUUGUGUUCCCUCACACCAUCCUUUCCCACUCUCUGGCCGCCUAAUAUAUUCACACUAUUCCUCCUCCCCAUCCUCUCAAUAUACUAUUGUUACCUUAUGGGUAAAAUCAAUGCUUAUUAAUUUUGAGCAUUGAUUUUAUGAUGUUUAUGAUGUUAUGAUCAUGGAAAUGCAAUUCACUGCUGAUCUAGGGAAUACAAUAAAACUACUUUAUGUUUUACCUGGAUUUAAUAGUUGCCUCAUUGUUUGUUUGUUUCUUAGUUUUCCAGGUACCUAUCACAGCAAUUCACUGCUGAUCUAGAAGAUACAAUAAAACUACUUUAUGUUUUACCUGGAUUUAAUAGUUGCCUCAUUGUUUGUUUGUUUCUUAGUUUUCCAGGUACCUAUCACGAAUUCAUUCUCAGAAUUUCUGAAAGAACAAUAAAAAUCAUUGCAAUAUGUGCAAACAUUAGGUAGUCUGUUUGUUUCUUUUUUCUUUUUCUACUCGGGGAUUUCCUCCUAGUGCAUUUUGUCCUUCUGUUACUUGUAAGUCUCUAAGCUUGCUACACAACUAUCAUUGGGAACUUUUCUGCACCAUUAAUCUGGAAAUUCCCUUUGCCUCUUUUCUGUGUUAAAACUCCUGUUUUCUAGAUUCUGUGUUUCCCCCCCUGCUUGGUUUAUUCACUUCUUUUGGCAGAAUACAUCUGCAAGUAGCUUAUUGUGAAAAGAUAAGUGGGAGGUUAAUUUUUUGAAAUCUUGCAUAUCUGAAAAUGUUUUUAUGUAUUUUAAUAGCUUUUUUGAAAUAUAUUUUGCAUACCAUAAAAUUCGCCCAUUUAAAGUGUAUAAUUCAGUGGUUUUUAGUAUAUUCACACAGUUAUGCAACCAUCACAAUUUAAUUUUAGAACAUUUUUGACAUCCCCAAAAUAAAUUCUGUACACAUUAGCAGUCCUCCACCAUUUCUGCUCACUUAUUUUCCCUCAACCUACUGCUCCAACCUCAGGUAGUCACUAAUCAACCUUCUGACUCUGUUGGUUUGCUGAUUCUGAACUUUUCACAUAAGUGGAAUCAUACAAUACAUGGUCUUUUGUGAUUGACUUAUUUCAGUUAGCAUAUUUUUUUCAAGGUUUAUCUAAGUCGGAGCAUGUGCCAGUAUUCAUUCUUUUUUAUUGCUGCAUAAUAUUCUAGUGUAUGGACAUACCACAUUUUGUUUGUCCAGUCAUUAAUUAAUGGAUAUUUUGUUUGUUUCCACCUUUUGGCUAUUUUGAAUAAUUCUGCUAUGAACUUUCAUGUACAAGUUUUUGUGUAGACAUAUAUUUUCACUUCUCUUGGGUAUACAUCCAGGAGUAGAAUUGCUAGUUUAUAUUCUAACUCUAUGUUUUGCAUUUUGAAGAACUGCCAAACUAUUUUCCAAAGUGGUUGCACCAUUUUACAUUCCCA
rnacentral:lncRNA from 10 species